rnacentral:rRNA from 1 species
CAAAAACCAAUCGGUUAUACUUCGGUGUAGCCGUUCAAUUGGUGAAUUCUGAGUAACUACAGCGAACCGCAUGAUCUCGUAUCGGCGGUCUGUCGGUCAAGCAACUGCCUUAUCAGCUUGUUGUUAGGUUAUAUGCCUAACAAGGCGUCAACGGGUAACGAACGAUUGGGGUCUGACAUCGGAGAGGGAGCCUGAGAAACGGCUACCACAUCUAAGGAAGGCAGCAGGCGCGCAAAUUACCCACUCCCGGCACGGGGAGGUAGUGACGAGAAAUAACGAUGCGGGGCUCAUACGAGUACUCGUAAUCGGAAUGAGAACAGUUUAAAUCCUUUAACGAGGAACUAUUGGAGGGCAAGUCUGGUGCCAGCAGCCGCGGUAAUUCCAGCUCCAAUAGCGUAUAUUAAUGCUGCUGCGGUUAAAAAGCUCGUAGUUGGAUCUGGGUUGUCGGCGGGCGGACCGCUGUGCUUAAUGUAUGGCGUGUAUCCGUUGUAUGCAUUGACGACUUUCGUGGUCGUUCAAUGUUGCCGAUGUGUGCUUCGGCUUAUGUCGGGCACGCAUUGGUCGCCGAUACCAAAU